GGAGUUAUUGUCGGUUUGCGAUGUGGGGGAAACUUCAUGUUGCGAGCGGAUGGUAGCUGAUAUAAAGCAUUUAUUGAUGGCUGCUCAUUUAUUUGGGUGGUCGUAUAUUGAUGGAUGCAUUUUACUAUUAAAAAAUUAGAAAGUUUCAAUUAAGUUGUAAUUGGAUUUUUGAAUAGUCGAAGAAUGGUAUAAUAGAAUAGGAUUUUGGAAUCAGUUUGGAAUGUUAGAUGAUUCUAGAGUAAUGAUUAAUAGAGAUAGAUGGAGAUAUUUGUAUUUGAUGGCUAGAGGUGAAAUUCUUGGAUUCUUCAAAGACAAACUAACGCGAAAGCAUUUAUCAAGUAUAUGCUCGUUAAUCAAGAACUUAAGUAAAGGGAUCAAAGAUGAUAAGAUACCGUCGUAGUCUUUACUAUAAACUAUGCCGAUUAGGGAUCUAUUUUAUUACGUAUUUUAUGUUAGUUAAAAUGGGAACCUUGUGAGAAAUCAUAAAUGUUCGGGUCCCGGGGGGGGGCUCGGGGG
rnacentral:rRNA from 1 species